AUUGAACGCUGGCGGCAGGCCUAACACAUGCAAGUCGAACGAGUGGCGGACGGGUGAGUAAUGUCUGGGAAUGUGCGUGAGGGAGGGGGACAACUAACGGACACGGUAGCUAAUAACGCAUUCCAGAGGCUGUGCCCAGAUGGGAAUGGCUAGUGGGUGGGGUAACGGCGCACCAAGGCGACGAUCCGUAGCUGGUCUGAGAGGAUGACCAGCCACACUGGAACUGAGACACGGUCCAGACUCCUACGGGAGGCAGCAGUGGGGAAUAUUGCACAAUGGGCGCAAGCCUGAUCCAGCCAUGCCGCGUGUGUGAAGAAGGCCUUCGGAUUGUAAAGUACUUUCAGCGGGGAGGCGUUACCCGCAGAAUAAGCACCGGCUAACUCCGUGCCAGCAGCCGCGGUAAUAC
rnacentral:rRNA from 1 species